GAUGAACGCUGGCGGCGUGCCUAAUACAUGCAAGUCGAGCGAACAGACGAGGAGCUUGCUCCUCUGACGUUAGCGGCGGACGGGUGAGUAACACGUGGAUAACCUACCUAUAAGACUGGGAUAACUUCGGGAAACCGGAGCUAAUACCGGAUAAUAUAUUGAACCGCAUGGUUCAAUAGUGAAAGACGGUUUUGCUGUCACUUAUAGAUGGAUCCGCGCCGCAUUAGCUAGUUGGUAAGGUAACGGCUUACCAAGGCAACGAUGCGUAGCCGACCUGAGAGGGUGAUCGGCCACACUGGAACUGAGACACGGUCCAGACUCCGACGGGAGGCAGCAGUAGGGAAUCUUCCGAAAUGGGCGAAAGCCUGACGGAGCAACGCCGCGUGAGUGAUGAAGGUCUUCGGAUCGUAAAACUCUGUUAUUAGGGAAGAACAAAUGUGUAAGUAACUAUGCACGUCUUGACGGUACCUAAUCAGAAAGCCACGGCUAACUACGUG
rnacentral:rRNA from 1 species